AUUGAACGCUGGCGGCAUGCCUUACACAUGCAAGUCGAACGGUAACAGGUCUUCGGAUGCUGACGAGUGGCGAACGGGUGAGUAAUACAUCGGAACGUGCCUAGUAGUGGGGGAUAACUACUCGAAAGAGUGGCUAAUACCGCAUGAGAUCUACGGAUGAAAGCAGGGGAUCGCAAGACCUUGUGCUACUAGAGCGGCCGAUGGCAGAUUAGGUAGUUGGUGGGAUAAAAGCUUACCAAGCCGACGAUCUGUAGCUGGUCUGAGAGGACGAUCAGCCACACUGGGACUGAGACACGGCCCAGACUCCUACGGGAGGCAGCAGUGGGGAAUUUUGGACAAUGGGCAAAAGCCUGAUCCAGCAAUGCCGCGUGCGGGAUGAAGGCCUUCGGGUUGUAAACUGCUUUUGUACGGAACGAAAAGCCCCGGGUUAAUACCCUGGGGUCAUGACGGUACCGUAAGAAUAAGCACCGGCUAACUACGUGCCAGCCGCCGCGGUAA
rnacentral:rRNA from 1 species